UACGGAGGGUGCGAGCGUUGUUCGGAAUCACUGGGCGUAAAGCGCGUGUAGGCGGUCCGUUAAGUCUGGUGUGAAAGCCCGGGGCUCACCCCCGGAAGGGCACUGGAAACUGGCAGACUCGAGUCUCGGAGAGGAGGGUGGAAUUCCUGGUGUAGCGGUGAAAUGCGUAGAUAUCAGGAGGAACACCGGAGGCGAAGGCGGCCCUCUGGACGAUGACUGACGCUGAGACGCGAAAGCGUGGGGAGCAAACAGG
rnacentral:rRNA from 1 species